rnacentral:ncRNA from 2 species
AUAGAAUAUAGCGAGACGGGUGCCCUUAGGGGCUUAAUAGGGAAGUCCGGUUAAAAGCCGGCGCGGUCCCGCCACUGUAACGGGGAAUAAGCUCAUGAUAUGCCACUGGGAUAAAUCCCGGGAAGGUUUGAGUACAUGAUGAUCCGGAGCCAGGAGAACUGCCUGUUUAACAAUCGCCGU